AAGUCUACAAAACUCCCUGUUGAUUCCAUAUAAAAGACAAAAUAUUAGUUUAUUGAAAGCAGCUUCAUCCAUCGCGGUACAAAGGAGCCCUCUGAUGGAACAGAUUUAUAAAGUACCAGCUGAAAGUCUUUACCUGUAGCUGACCCGGAUCCAACUGACGGCUCCACCGGAUGGUCAGCUCAAAAACUGCACUGUCAGAAGUAGUUCCUGGAAAGAAGACGCGUUCACGGAGAAGCGGAGGCGGAGAGUGAUGGAAUCAUCUCUUUUCUUCUAGACUGUCAGCUCGUUGUGGGCCUACCAAUUCUAGUGUAUUCUACAUUGCUCCGGACGCACCAAGUACCUGAUAAAUACCACUGACUGACUGCCUGAUUUUCCCUUCCCAAAAUGGAGCAGAGAGAGACCAGACAACUCCACGGAGCGUGGAGGGUGAUUGAUUUGAAAUUCCUUCCUCCACCAUGCCAAAACCAAGCUUUCAACUUCAGAACCAUCUCACCUAGGUGCCCUUUACAAAUAAGUAAAAACUGAGCCCUAGGGGAAAUAAAUGUCUGACGUUUAAUUUGGUGAUUGUGCCUCCAGAUCUUUUAAGCCUUUGAAAGAAGUCAAGAGCGUAAACAAACGUCAUGCAUUUGGGCUGAAAUGAUCAUUUUUUUGGUCAAGGAAGGCACCUAUCUCACUUCAUAAAUUCAAGAACUGGAGUUGAAAAUUGACUAUUAAUAAAUAGCUGAGGGAUGGCUA